rnacentral:rRNA from 1 species
GGCGGACGGGUGAGUAACGCGUGGGUAACCUGCCCUGUACAGGGGGAUAACAGUCAGAAAUGACUGCUAAUACCGCAUAAGACCACAGCACCGCAUGGUGCAGGGGUAAAAACUCCGGUGGUACAGGAUGGACCCGCGUCUGAUUAGCUGGUUGGUGAGGUAACGGCUCACCAAGGCGACGAUCAGUAGCCGGCUUGAGAGAGUGAACGGCCACAUUGGGACUGAGACACGGCCCAAACUCCUACGGGAGGCAGCAUG